rnacentral:rRNA from 1 species
CCAAUAGCGUAUAUUAAAGUUGUUGCAGUUAAAAAGCUCGUAGUUGAAUUUCGGGGUCAAUACGUCGGUCGUGCCUCGGUACGCACUAACGUUAUUGAUCCCUCCCUUCUGACGAACCGUGAUGUCAUUAAUUUGGUGUUGCGGGGAAUCAGGACUGUUACCUUGAAAAAAUUAGAGUGUUUAAAGCAGGCAAUCGCUCGAAUACAUUAGUAUGGAAUAAUGAAAUAGGACGUUCGAACCUAUUUUGUUGGUUUCUAGGAUCGACGUAAUGAUUAAUAGGGAUAGUUGGGGGCAUUAGUAUUCAAUUGUCAGAGGUGAAAUUCUUGGAUUUAUUGAAGACUAACUACUGCGAAAGCAUUUGCCAAGGAUGUUUUCAUUAAUCAAGAACGAAAGUUAGGGGAUCGAAGACGAUCAGAUACCGUCGUAGUCUUAACCAUAAACUAUGCCGACUAGGGAUCGGAUGAUGUUAAUUUUUUAAUGACUCAUUCGGCGCCUUACG